UUGCAGGCUGCAACUCGCCUGUAUGAAGUCGGAAUUGCUAGUAAUCGUGGAUCAGCAUGCCACGGUGAAUACGUUCCCGGGCCUUGUACACACCGCCCGUCACACCAUGAGAGCCGGGAACACCGAAGUCCGUAGUCUAACCUAUAUGGAGGACGCGGCCGAAGGUGGGUUUGGUAAUUGGGGUGAAGUCGUAACAAGGUACC
rnacentral:rRNA from 1 species